CCUACGGGAGGCAGCAGUGAGGAAGAUUGGUCAAUGGACGAGAGUCUGAACCAGCCAAGUAGCGUGAAGGAUGACUGCCCUAUGGGGUGUAAACUUCGUGUAUAAAGGAAUAAAACGAGGCACGUGUGCCUUUUUGCAUGUACUUUAUGAAUAAGGAUAGGCUAACUCCGUGCCAGCAGCCGCGGUAAUACGGAGGAUCCGAGCGUUAUCCGGAUUUAUUGGGUUGAAAGGGAGCGUAGAUGGGUUGUUAAGUCAGUUGUGAAAGUUUGCGGCUCAACCGUAAAAUUGCAAUUGAUACUGGCAGUCUUUAGUACAGUUGAGGUCGGCGGACUUCGUUUUGUAGCGG
rnacentral:rRNA from 1 species